rnacentral:rRNA from 1 species
UGCGUAGGGUGCGAGCGUUAAUCGGAAUUACUGGGCGUAAAGCGUGCGCAGGCGGUUCGUUGUGUCGGCGGUGAAAGCCCCGGGCUUAACCUGGGAAUGGCCGUUGAAACUGGCGAACUGGAGUGUGGCAGAGGGGGGUGGAAUUCCGCGUGUAGCAGUGAAAUGCGUAGAGAUGCGGAGGAACACCGAUGGCGAAGGCAGCCCCCUGGGCUAACACUGACGCUCAGGCACGAAAGCGUGGGGAGCAAACAGG